UACGCAGGGGGCUAGCGUUGCUCGGAAUCACUGGGCGUAAAGCGCACGUAGGCGGACUCUUAAGUCGGUGGUGAAAUCUCGGAGCUUAACUCCGAAACUGCAUUCGAUACUGCCGUGCUUGAGGACUGGAGAGGAGACUGGAAUUUACGGUGUAGCGGUGAAAUGCGUAGAUAUCGUAAGGAAGACCAGUGGCGAAGGCGGGUCUCUGGACAGUUCCUGACGCUGAGGCACGAAGGUCAGGGGAGCAAACGGG
rnacentral:rRNA from 1 species